UACGUAGGGGGCUAGCGUUGUCCGGAAUCAUUGGGCGUAAAGCGCGCGUAGGCGGCCCGGUAAGUCCGCUGUAAAAGUCAAAGGCUUAACCUUUGAAUGUCAGUGGAUACUGCCGGGCUAGAGUCCGGAAGAGGCGAGUGGAACUCCUGGUGUAGCGGUGGAAUGCGCAGAUAUCAGGAAGAACACCGACGGCGAAGGCAGCUCGCUGGGACGGUACUGACGCUGAGGCGCGAAAGCGUGGGGAGCGAACAGG
rnacentral:rRNA from 1 species